AUGGCAGAUGACACUGGUGCAGCAGGAAGGCCUAGAGGCUCUGGGGGCCCCGGAAUGGGAAGCCAUGGUGGUUUCCGUGGAGGCUUCAGCAGCGGCAUUCAUUUGGGCCAGGGUCACAGCUGUGGUGUGGGUUGGGGCUGAGGCCGCAGAGUUCAUGGAGGCAAGGCCAAGGACAAAGAGUCGAUGCCUGUCACCAAGCUGGGCCACCUGGUCAAGGACAUGAAGAUCAAUCCCUGGAGGGAGCUAUCUCUUCUCCCUGCCCAUUAAGGAAUCUGAGAUCAUUGAUUUUUUUUCUUGGGGGCAUCUCUCAAGGAUGAAGUUUUGAAGAUUAUGCCAGUGCAAAAAAUAGACCCACACUGGCCAGCGGACCAGGUUCAAGGCAUGUGUUGCCAUUGGGGACUACAAUGGCCAUGUCGAUCUGAGUGUUAAGUGUUCCAAGGAAGUAGCCACUGCCAUCUGAGGGGCCAUCAUCCUGGCCAAGCUCUCUAUUGUCCCAGUGCGGGGAGGCUACUGGGGGAAUAAGAUCGACAAGCCUUACCCUGUUCCUUGCAAGGUGACAGGCCACUGUGGCUCUGUGCUGGUAGGUCUCAUCCCUGCUCCUAGAGGAACUGGCAUUGUCUCAGCGCCUGUGCCUAAGAAGCUGCUAAUGAUGACUGGGAUCAAUGACUGCUACAUUUCAGCUAGGGGCUGCACUGCCACCCUGGGCAACUUUGCCAAGGCCACUUUUGAUGCCAUUUCCAAGACCUAUAGCUAUUUCACUCCUGACUUCUGGGAAGACACAGUAUUCACCAAGUCUCUUUACCAAGAAUUCACUGACCAUCUUGUCAAGACCCACACCAGAGUCUCUGUGCAGAGGACCCAGGCUCCAGCUGUGGCUACAACAUAGGGUUUUUAGACAAGAAUAAUAAAGUGAAUUAAG